rnacentral:rRNA from 1 species
UACGUAGGGUGCAAGCGUUAAUCGGAAUUACUGGGCGUAAAGCGUGCGCAGGCGGUUGUGCAAGACCAGAUGGUGAAAUCCCCGGGCUUAACCUGGGAAUUGCAUUUGUGACUGCACGGCUAGAGUGUGAUCAGAGGGGGGUAGAAUUCCACGUGUAGCAGUGAAAUGCGUAGAUAUGUGGAGGAAUACCGAUGGCGAAG